ACAGAUGUCAAAGGGGAGUAGCACUGGCUUAAUUGCCGGGAUAAAAUCGUCAUUACAUGGAGCUUUGAAUCCAUCGGUUUUAUUAACAUGUCACAAUGUCAGCGAGACCUUUGCCCGAUACCGGGUAAGGUCUCGCUUUUUUUAUUCUUACUCGCA
rnacentral:sRNA from 2 species